GACGAACGCUGGCGGCGUGCUUAACACAUGCAAGUCGAACGGAAAGGCCCUGCUUUUGUGGGGUGCUCGAGUGGCGAACGGGUGAGUAACACGUGAGUAACCUGCCCUUGACUUUGGGAUAACUUCAGGAAACUGGGGCUAAUACCGGAUAGGAGCUCCUGCUGCAUGGUGGGGGUUGGUAAGUUUCGGCGGUUGGGGAUGGACUCGCGGCUUAUCAGCUUGUUGGUGGGGUAGUGGCUUACCAAGGCUUUGACGGGUAGCCGGCCUGAGAGGGUGACCGGCCACAUUGGGACUGAGAUACGGCCCAGACUCCUACGGGAGGCAGCAGUGGGGAAUAUUGCACAAUGGGCGAAAGCCUGAUGCAGCAACGCCGCGUGCGGGAUGACGGCCUUCGGGUUGUAAACCGCUUUCGCCUGUGACGAAGCGUGAGUGACGGUAAUGGGUAAAGAAGCACCGGCUAACUACGUG
rnacentral:rRNA from 1 species